UACGUAGGCAGCGAGCGUUGUUCGGAGUUACUGGGCGUAAAGGGUGUGUAGGCGGUUCUUUAAGUUUGGUGUGAAAUCUCCCGGCUCAACCGGGAGGGUGCGCCGAAUACUGAGGGACUUCGAGUGCGGGAGAGGAAAGUGGAAUUCCUGGUGUAGCGGUGAAAUGCGUAGAUAUCAGGAGGAACACCGGUGGUGUAGACGGCUUUCUGGACCGUAACUGACGCUGGAGACACGGAAAGCGUGGGUAGCAAACAGG
rnacentral:rRNA from 1 species